rnacentral:lncRNA from 1 species
GGGGUUUUGAAGGUGACUGCACUGCCAUGAAGCUUCUCUCCCCACCUCUUGCUGCUAGAAACAGCCUCGUCCGUCCUCCCUCCUUCCACCUGCCAGCGCUGAUGUGGGAAUGAAGUUUCUGGCGCUGCUGCUGAACUGUAAAUUGACUUCAGGGCAGAGACCAACUCCUGCAGCAUGUGAGGGGGGUGUGUCUGUGGAAGAGCUAAACCAACCUAUUUGCUGGCUGUCACCAAGAAAGCAUUCGGUCUAACCUCACAGUGAGCUUGUUAAAGCUGACCUCCAUGUCCAGCCGUGAAGGCAUUUUCUGGUUUGAGUGCCGCUGAGCAGAGUGACAUCCCGGCCUCUCCUGCCACUCUGUAAUUAACAGCCCCAAACAUGGAGCAGUGUCUGACCCUCUGACAUUUUUUUGCCAAGGCUUUUAUUAAUUUGACACUAGUU